UGUCAGUGUGUGUGUGUGUGUGUGUGUGUGUAUAUGUAUCUGACACACAGAUACACACACACACACACUGGCACA